CCUACGGGGGACAGCAGUGAGGAAUAUUGGUCAAUGGACGAGAGUCUGAACCAGCCAAGUAGCGUGAAGGAUGACUGCCCUAUGGGUUGUAAACUUCUUUUAUAUGGGAAUAAAACGUUCCACGUGUGGGAUUUUGUAUGUACCAUAUGAAUAAGGAUCGGCUAACUCCGUGCCAGCAGCCGCGGUAAUACGGAGGAUCCGAGCGUUAUCCGGAUUUAUUGGGUUUAAAGGGAGCGUAGGUGGAUUGUUAAGUCAGUUGUGAAAGUUUGCGGCUCAACCGUAAAAUUGAAGUUGAAACUGGCAGUCUUGAGUACAGUAGAGGUGGGCGGAAUUCGUGGUGUAGCGGUGAAAUGCUUAGAUAUCACGAAGAACUCCGAUUGCGAAGGCAGUUCACUGGACUGCAACUGACACUGAGGCUCGAAAGUGUGGGUAUCAAACAGGAUUAGAUACCCGGGUAGUC
rnacentral:rRNA from 1 species